rfam:Picea glauca, whole genome shotgun sequence.
AUGUACAUUCUUAUUGCAUAGUGUUAGUUCAUUGGAUCCCAUUAGAGCUCCACAGUUAAGUGUGCUUGGGCUAGAGUAGUAUUGGGAUGGGUGACCGAUCGCUCGGGAGUCCUAGUGUUUUACAUG